AUGCUACGGGACAGAAGACUACCGGCCUCACCGCCCCAUCCUGAGCCCCGGGACGGGGGUGGGGGGUGGGCCGGGGCAGAAACAUACCACUGCUGGGACAGGAGUUGGGGGAGUCUCAAACAGUGUAGAGAGAACAGGAGCGGGGAGCGGCUCUGGGGGGAACAGCAGCACCAACAACAGCGGUUCCUUCCUGGGCUCACUCUUCGGCAGCAAACGCGCCAAACCACCAGGGCCCCUUAUUCCACCGGGGCCACCCUACCCCGCGCCUGUCCCCCCACCGAAUACUGGCGGACCCCCUCCUCACUCCCCUUCAUCUCUAUGCCAGUUGGAGGGGGGGUCCUCCAAGAUCCAGGCCCUUCACGCACAAUACUGUCACGUGGGCAACGUACAGCCCCCACCACCUUAUUACCAUCACCAUCGCUACCACGUCCAAGCUGUCCCCCCGCCCCUGCAAGGCGUGCCCCCCCUUACCUUACAGAGAGGUACUCUACCAUGUCGACCACCGCUAGGCCCAGCGCUCGUCCAGCACCCGCAGCUGGCCCAUCUCUCCCAGCUCUCCCAGCAUGGGCCUCCGGUUCGCUACACCAACAUGGUGGUAGGAUGUCCCCCCCCUCUUUCUCCUCUCUCCCAACAUUCCCAGAACCCACAGUUCGCCAUGUACCACGCACAGCCCACACACUCUGUCAGAGGGAGCGGCGGCCCUGGUACCAAACCCCCUCUAACCUUGUCCCUCUCCCACCCCCACCCCCACGCACACUCCCAAACCCACCCCGGACACGCCCGCACACCACACCCUGUCAGCCACUCCACACACCAAACACACUUCAUAUUCGGCACGCUGCCCCACAACCUGCCGUCCGCCUCCGUCAGUGCGCAUCACGCAGCCUCCGCCGCCCCGUAUCUGCCCCAGUACCCUCCUCUCUCUUCCAUCCCCCUCCCCCACCACACUCCCCUUUACCCCCCCCUUCGUCCCCCCUUACCCCUCUUACACCUCUCUCCCCUCUCCCCCCCCAGCACCCCGGGCAGCCUCAGCAGGGGCCGCCGGCGACGGGGGCUGGAGCGACAGGUACAGGGGGCAGCUCCAAAUCCAAACCUAUCAACCGGAUAAGCACCGUGGUGUGA
rnacentral:lncRNA from 1 species